ACAAAUGACUGGUCCCAGGCCCAUCUUCUGGGAUCAAAUUGAAAGUUAUGUAAAGACAAUAAAACAACACAGAUAAUUGGGCAUCUAUCAUAGAAUGAUCAAAGAAAAAGAUUAAUUAUGGUUUACUAAAAAUUCUGCCAGCACAUAUGAUUAAUAUAUAUCUUUAGGUAAUAUAAAUAAGCAAAAUGACUUUUCGUAUAGUUAUAGAGGAGUCCUUUGAAUACUUCUAAUGUCCAGUAACCUUUCUCCAGAAUGCUUGUUGGAAUACAGCUGCCAAGGACACUUGCUUAGACUUUCACAUCCAGGUAGUACCUGCAGUGUUAUUAUUUCACUCUGUCACUCUAUUUCACAGUGUUAUUCUCUCAAAGGGUAGAGUGAAACAGGCAAGUUUAUAUUUAAAGAGACAAGUUUAUCUGUCAAAGAACACAAUUGUCAAGACAACAGCACUAUUUGUGUGAAAUUUAACCAUUAAUCCUGUGCAUUCAAAUGUCCAAAUGAUGGACCAUUUCUGAGCAGUGUACAUUUUGAUUUCGAUUGGGAUAAUAUCAAUAAAUACAGAAAAAGAAAAUUGUACUUAUUGUAUCAAAGUAUUGACUGUAAACAACUGGCAUACCUAAAUGCUGCAAGAUUGCUGCAAAUACAUCAAGUGGCGUACUUUGGAGUAUAAAUGCAUCUUAAAUAAAAAAUCUUCCAUCUUCAUGCACUAUUGUAGUGCAUGAAGUGGAGUUUUAUAUACAUAAAGUGGAUCAGAGUAGCUGGAAAAGAACACUGUGGCUGUCCAUUUUAUCUGAUGAAUAAUUGGGGGAUCCAGAAAUUAUCACAACCUUCUCAUACAGAAUAUAUUAUGGAAUAUUUCCCUUUUGUGUCUAGUUUUUAUGUUUGUUUUUUAUUCUCUUGAGUCUUUAUAAGAAUUGGUGAGAAUGUAUGUUUAUUGUUAUAAUGUAAGGAAAAUUUUUCCAAACUAGAAUACUAUUAGAAUAGAAUUAGGAGAAUAGUGUUAAUGGAAAAAUUUAAGCAAAACAGGAAAACUAUUUAUUAAACAUAACAAGAAAAGUUCUACAAGAAUCAAAAUUUACGAGAAAUGUGAAUACAUACUGUGCAUGAAAAUUUAAGGAUAGAACCAUCAUAUUUAUGCUGUUAAAAUAUCAAUGACAGCCUUUAUUUAUUUUUUUUUUUUGCAUAAGAAAUUAGACUAGAAGUUUAGCUUAUCCUAAAAAAGCUGCAGAUAAUUUUCUGAUCUGUUUUAGUAGUUUUUUAAUAUGUUGGGUUUUACAACUUUUGAUACAAUCAUACUUUCAAAUAAAUUUACAGUAGAAAUGCAGAGGUAAAAUAUAUAUACAUAUCACUACCAGUGAAUUUUGUCAAAUGGGUCUAGAUCUUUAUUAGAAAUGUGGGGCUAUUUGGUCCUGAAAGAGAAUUUGUAGAAAAGAGAAUAGAAUAACAUUUUCUGUACCUCCAGGGAUGGCUGAUUAACUUUCAGUACUUGUGAGGCCAGAACCAGCUGUGCUUUGUGUUAGCUUUCCAUUUGCUAUAUUUUCAGUAUAUAUGAUAUUUAUAUUUGUUAUAGUCUAUCAGCUUGCAGCUUUGUGCUAAUAAGAAGGAAUUUAAUCAAAAUAUAAACCUCAGAAAUUAAAAUCUGAAAAUCUGAAAGUACAAAAUUUUCACUUAACUUUACCUUAAUUAUGGCUCAAAGAGCAGUGGUGGUGACAAUUCAUUGCAAAGUGCAGAAAUUAAUUCAAUGGUGAGAGCCCAGCAGUAGUACUCAACAUUACAAAUAUUACAGAAAUGAUCUUCCUUUCUCAUUAUAAUGUUCAAAGCUCUGCUGCUUUUCCUAAAUUGCUGUCAAGUACAUUCUAUAUGAGGGCAGAAAGAAAAUUUGUCUUCUCAGUGUACACUGUAGUCUUGGCUGUCUGCAGAAGGACAUGACCAGAGCUGCUCAGACAUAAUGCUCUGAACAAGAAGUCACAAUAGAUUAAAACUACAUUAGUUUGUUGAGUUCAUUUGAGCUUUGAUAAUUUAAUUUAAAAUAAAAGGCUGAUAUAUUUUGCAGAGAUUGUCCACAAGUGUUACUGAAUACAUGGUUUUAACAAGCUGGGGUUUCAUCUGUGAAAUCUGUUUGAAUGUACAUAUCAAAUAAAAAAAAAAAAAAGUUAUUAUUAACUAUUUUCAUCCAUUGCUUCAUUUUGCAAGAGGCUGAUAUCACCUUUUUAGUGGCUUCAAGCAGUGAAGACUGAGCCAACAUUCUUUAGCUGUGUUCCUGUGAGGAAGAUGUACAAGACUGAGGGCUGUGGAGUUUUCUGAGACAUCCUUGAGAAACAUUCUCAAAUCCAAAGAGACAAGAACUUUUUUCUGAUACAGCUAUAUGAUGAUAUUUAAUCAGUUUCUGGGCACACUGUCUCUUCCUCUUCAAAGAUAAUUUUCUCAAAUCCUUGGAUUUUUUCUAGUCUUGUUCCAGGACCUCAUUGGACUGUACAAGAAAAUUGACUAAAAAGUGUUUGAACCAAAGGCCUUGGAAGUAGCAUUUGGACUCAGAUGGUUUCUCCUUGGCAUUAUUCUACGGCCAAAAUUUUUCCUCAAAUCAAAGAGUAACUGAUACGCCAGGCUAAGGAUGCUGCUUCUGUUCAUCAAUGCCAUCAUGUGAUCACAUGAACAGCAACAGAAUUUACAUCAAGUUUGCAGAACUGGACAUCAUCCUGAAAGGCUGAAUUAAAUUACAUGGAAAAAAGAAAGAAUCAAAAUGAAACAGAAAGAAGAGAAAA